ensembl:Mt_tRNA
UAGGAAGACGCUUGUUGGUUUGAGCGCUUAGCUGUUAACUAAGAUUUUGUAGGAUCGAGGCCUGCCUUUCUAG